UACGAACCGUGCGAACGUUGUUCGGAAUCACUGGGCUUAAAGGGCGCGUAGGCGGCUCCGCAAGUCAGGGGUGAAAGCCCCCAGCUCAACUGGGGAAGUGCCUCUGAUACUGUGGAGCUCGAGCGAGGUAGGGGCAGCGGGAACUUCCGGUGGAGCGGUGAAAUGCGUUGAUAUCGGAAGGAACGCCGGUGGCGAAAGCGCGCUGCUGGACCUCUCCUGACGCUGAGGCGCGAAAGCCAGGGGAGCAAACGGG
rnacentral:rRNA from 1 species